rnacentral:rRNA from 1 species
UACAGAGGUGGCAAGCGUUGUUCGGAAUUACUGGGCGUAAAGGGCGCGUAGGUGGCCAACUAAGUCAGACGUGAAAUCCCUCGGCUUAACCGGGGAACUGCGUCUGAUACUGGAUGGCUUGAGUGUGGGAGAGGGAUGCGGAAUUCCAGGUGUAGCGGUGAAAUGCGUAGAUAUCUGGAGGAACACCGGUGGCGAAGGCGGCAUCCUGGACCACGACUGACGCUGAGUGAGCGAAAGCCAGGGGGAGCAAACGGG